GACGAACGCUGGCGGCGUGCCUAAUACAUGCAAGUAGAACGCUGAAGAGAGGAGCUUGCUCUUCUUGGAUGAGUUGCGAACGGGUGAGUAACGCGUAGGUAACCUGCCUGGUAGCGGGGGAUAACUAUUGGAAACGAUAGCUAAUACCGCAUGAAAUUGCUUAUCGCAUGAUAAUUAAUUGAAAGAUGCAAUUGCAUCACUACCAGAUGGACCUGCGUUGUAUUAGCUAGUUGGUGAGGUAACGGCUCACCAAGGCGACGAUACAUAGCCGACCUGAGAGGGUGAUCGGCCACACUGGGACUGAGACACGGCCCAGACUCCUACGGGAGGCAGCAGUAGGGAAUCUUCGGCAAUGGGGGGAACCCUGACCGAGCAACGCCGCGUGAGUGAAGAAGGUUUUCGGAUCGUAAAGCUCUGUUGUAAGAGAAGAACGGGUGUGAGAGUGGAAAGUUCACACGGGGACGGAUCUACCAGA
rnacentral:rRNA from 1 species